rnacentral:rRNA from 1 species
UACGGGGGAUGCAAGUGUUAUCCGGAAUAAUUGGGCGUAAAGCGUCUGUAGGUGGUUGACCAAGUCUGUUGUUAAAAAUCAGGGCUUAACCCUGAUCCGGCAACAGAAACUAGUAAACUUGAGUACGGUAGGGGCGAGAGGGAAUUCUCGGUGUAGUGGUGAAAUACGUAGAUAUCGAGAAGAACACCAAUAGCGAAAGCACUCUGCUGGGCCGAAACUGACAUUGAGAGACGAAAGCUA